GCGCCGGUGGUGCAACGGUUUAGCACACGCUCCCGGAAUGAGUGUGAUCUGGGUUCAAACCCCGGCUGACGCA